GCAAGUCGAACGCCCCGCAAGGGGAGUGGCAGACGGGUGAGUAACGCGUGGGAACAUACCCUUUCCUGCGGAAUAGCUCCGGGAAACUGGAAUUAAUACCGCAUACGCCCUACGGGGGAAAGAUUUAUCGGGGAAGGAUUGGCCCGCGUUGGAUUAGCUAGUUGGUGGGGUAAAGGCCUACCAAGGCGACGAUCCAUAGCUGGUCUGAGAGGAUGAUCAGCCACAUUGGGACUGAGACACGGCCCAAACUCCUACGGGAGGCAGCAGUGGGGAAUAUUGGACAAUGGGCGCAAGCCUGAUCCAGCCAUGCCGCGUGAGUGAUGAAGGCCUUAGGGUUGUAAAGCUCUUUCACCGGAGAAGAUAAUGACGGUAUCCGGAGAAGAAGCCCCGGCUAACUUCGUGCCAGCAGCCGCGGUAAUACGAAGGGGGCUAGCGUUGUUCGGAAUUACUGGGCGUAAAGCGCACGUAGGCGGAUAUUUAAGUCAGGGGUGAAAUCCCAGAGCUCAACUCUGGAACUGCCUUUGAUACUGGGUAUCUUGAGUAUGGAAGAGGUAAGUGGAAUUCCGAGUGUAGAGGUGAAAUUCGUAGAUAUUCGGAGGAACACCAGUGGCGAAGGCGGCUUACUGGUCC
rnacentral:rRNA from 1 species